CUGCACACAGGCUCUCACCGCACUGCGCGACCACCGCACGAAGCAGGGACCCCCAUCCGCCCCUUUCACAGGUGAAGAAACUGAUGCCCGACAGCAGGUGAAGGCGCUUGCUCAAGAUCACCAGGCACGGCGGGGACUCACACCCAGGCCAGCCGGAGCCAGAGCCCGUGCUCCUCACCUCCCCGGCCCCAGCACAGUCCAAGGCCUGGGUUCAAGGCUAGGCUGAACUUACUCACUGGCUGUGUCUUUUCACGAGUGUCCCAACCUCUCUGGUGCUUGAGCUCACAACUGCCGUUUGUGUACCUCAGGCAGCUUUCUGCAAGUGGAUGGGUUUUUUUUUCUUUUUUAAAAGAUUUUAUUUAUUUAUUCAUGAGAGACACACAGAGAGAGGCAGAGACGCAGGCAGAGGGAGAAGCAGGCGCCCUGCAGGGAACCCGAUGCAGGAUUCGAUCCCAGGACCCCAGGGUCAAGCCCUGGGCCAAAGGCGGUGCUAAACCACUGAGCCCCCCAGGGGGUCCCAAGUGGAUGGUUUUUACAAGGGACACAGGAUGUAUGGAGAAGGCUCGGCACUAACUCAGAGGCAAAACCUCCUACGAUGGGAAAAGGAGAGUCGAGGAAGUAGAGAGAGGCGGGAAGAGGAAAUCCAUGUCAAGGGCAGGCCCUGGAGCAAGACUUUCAGGACCACAGGGAAGACACAGCGCUCGGCCCGGACGCCCCUGGCUUGGGCAUCUUGACGACUGGCCUGGAGCUGACAAUGCAGGAUUUUUUAAUCACUGAGUUCAAAAUGGAUGGGAAAAUGCGUGGUGCCUGAUGGAAGCUUUUAGUCCUAAUUGCUCAAAAAUAAUAACAAUAAAACCCCACCAGCCUCUGUAAUUCCCAGGCAGUGCUUUUCUUUUCAUUAGGCAUUUCUAUCUGCUCGUGAUGCUAUUGUCAAGUGUUCAUCAAUGCUAAUGACGCAGUUCUCCAGAGCCCCAUUUUGCCCCAGAAACUGGAAGGGACAUUGUUAAGAAAAUACAUUCCUCACGCCACGAUGGAUACGUCAGACGGGAAGCGAACAGAACGCGAGCCGGGGCCUCCUCCGCAGCUAAGGGGCUGGGGGUGGGGGUGUCCUUGCAGGGCUCGUGGAAUCUGCCAGGCCUGAGCCCCGGGUCCCCCGCUGUUGCCCACGGGGAAGAGUCCGCCGUCGGGGAGUGAGGGGAAGGUGACAUUCGAGACCCCUGUGUCCCGGUCCCGGCUCUGCCACUUAGCGGCAGGUCAGGAGGGAACGUUCUCCCGGGAAAGCAUCACACCCACUGGGCCGAGGUCCCAGGCAGAGAUUUUGGGUGCUGGCCUGGGACCUCGCCUUCUGGAUGCUUUCUUUACGGCUCAAGUUUGGCAGAACCCGGGCAGGCGAGGAAGUGGCCCCACGUGUAUACUUUGGCUUCAGGCUCCUGGGCUCGGGUCCUAGGCCUGCCCUUUCCCAGCUCCUGACCUCCGGCAGGUCUCGGGACGCUCUCUCUGCCUUUGCUUCGCCGCAGGCAAGGUGGACGUCCUCGGGUCUUACAAGGAUUGAACGGGUUAAAACACGGGAGCGAGAUACACAGGAAGCGCUCGGCACGCCAGUAAACACACGCAAGCACUCUUGAUAAAUGAUCAGUUAUGAAGGGGGGUCAGCAAACUUCUGUAAAGGGCUGGACGGUAAAUACUUGCAGCUUUUUUUUUUUUUUUUUAAGAUUUUAUUUAUUUACUCACGAGAGACACAGGCAGAGGGAGAAGCAGGCUCCACGCGGGGAGCCCGACGCGGGACUCGAUCCCGAGACCCUGGGGUCACGCUCUGGGCUGAAGGCCGAUGCUCAACCGCUGAGCCAGCCAGGUGCCCCCACUUGGGGCUUUCUUUACAGCCUUGCACCCCCUCUGACACAAGUGUUAAACCGAAACACACGAGCGUGGCCGUGUCCCAAUAUAGCUUUACUUAUGGACACCGAAAUGUGAUUUUCACCUAGGGUGGAAUCUUCAGACACUUUUCUUUUGUUUUUUUUCCCCCAUCACUAAAAUACGUUAAUGCAUCGGAGUUCGUGGGCCGUCCAAACCAGGGGCAGGUGUCUGCUGACCCUGUUUUAGGGUCCUAAUGUUAUUCAUCUCCAGUCAGUGAAGUCUCUGGCCUGAGACAUGUCCCUCUUCCUCUUGUUCUUCACGGAGAGCCAGCAAGUCCUGCAAAGGAAAACAUUCUGGGGAUGCAGAGCGGAGCAGGCCCCGAUUCGAAGGGUGAACUCUUCGCCAGCCGCACUGCGUUCGUGAGCCAACACACAGGUCUAAAUUUGUGCAUCUUCCAGCUCUGGGAUUCCUGGUUCUUCCUUCAAUCUCUUGAUACUGUUGGAAAGGAUUCAUCGAUGGACAUUUUACAGAUGAGGACACCAAAGUCUGGAGGGGUUAAGGGAUUUGUUCAGGGUCAUAAAGUCUGUGAGUGCCAGAAGCAGGAUUUGAACCUGUGAUCCCUGAGCCCCAAAUCUGUGGCCUGAAGUGUUAGGCGGGCGAGGCGGCCACGUCAGCGUGCGGGCUCAAGACCUCGGCAAAAGCAAUACGACGGCAAGGAAAAAGGCUUGGGACACAGGAAGCUGAGAUCUGGUGGCGAUGGGACUGUCCUGCAGAAUCACCUGGGGGCCCUCUGCCAGCGUGCGGGCUCCCGGGCCACAUCCUAGAUGCCCUGAAUCAGCCUCUCUGAGGGGGUGGAUCCUAGGAAUCCGAAUUUGAGCAAGCAGCCAGGUGAUUCUGGGACUUGCUGUACUGGGCCUGUCAGCGUUGAUCCACUUAGCUCGUAAUUAAUUCAUCCAAAUAAUUCACCGAGAGGUGCCUGGGGCACUGGGAAGCAGCUGAGUCAGGAAGGCCUGGAUUCAAGUCCAGGGCCUAUUUUGUUCCCCUCUGCAUCUGCAUCCGCUCUGCCCAGUUUUGGAUUAUCCCACAGCCUUAUUGAGCAAGAAAAGGAAAAAAAGAACAUUUUGGGACAACCCAGUAUUUUAUAAUCCAAUGUUUUGUCGACAUCUUUAUUUCUUUCAGAAAGAACACAACCCACGCCAUUUGGCUUGACAACCUCACAUGUGUAUAUGGUUUAUACAGAGAACUGGUUUUGGGCGGGGGCCGGGGGCGCGCUCACAGGAUGACGUGCAGAUGGCGGCUUAGCCUCUGCGACCAGGGGCCCGAGUCCAAAUAUUGCUGCCACCACCUUCCAGAUGGGUAACUUCACAGAGGAAAUUGCAACAGUUUACAUUUAACAGGGUUGCUUUUAGGAUGAAAUAAGUUCAUCUAGGCCUGAGGUCUGCAAACCCAAGUGUGCAUCCAAGUCACCUGGAGGGCAGGUUACCACACCGAUUCCAGGCCCACCUCCAGCGCUGCUGAUGUGUCGGGUCUGGGGUGGACCCCGAGAAUCUGCAUUUCCCACAAGUUCUCAAGUGCUGCUGCUGUUGCCGGGCUGGGGAUCCCCCUUUGAGAACUACAAGUGCAGCAGGUGCUAAAGCAGCUCAGUGCCGUGGGGCCCAGCUUCUGACGGCCUUUGCGCAGCCUGGUCCGGUCCGGCCUCUACUCGCUGGACACACGCUCGUGGAAGGGCGACUGUGGACAGCGCCCUCCAGCCGACCGCUCCGUGAGAACGAUGAAGACUGAGGUAGGUGCGGGGGAUCCUGGGGCCCAAGCACACAUCUGCUGAGAUGCUGGGAACACAUCUCCCGGGGGGCACUUCUUCCUGUGACCCCUGGUGACAAGAGCCCCCACCCACCCGCACGGACCCCAUAUGUGCUCUGGUUUUCCCAGUUGUUCUGCAUGAUGUACAUCUGCUUCUCCCAAGCACCAGCUGUCCGUGCCCAGCUGGGAGCUGCUUCCUCAGCGAGAGCCCAGGUAACUCUGCAACGAGGGCUCAUCACAACUCUUUCUAGUCCCCAUGGGUGGCCUCGCCCAGGAACCAAACCAUUAAAAGCCUCGCACACAAAUCCAGUGGCAGGUGAGGUGACAUUGCCAUUCGGAAUGUCCCAGCCACACCUGUCUGGAUGUUUAGACUGUCACCACACACAGACGUCUGGAGCAGAACUGGCACCAAACGAGGACAGUGCCCAGCAUGACCGGAGGGCUCCGUGUGGAUGGCCCCCUGAGCCUGUCCAGUUUCCACUCUCUGAGAGCAACGAAUACCUCGGGCCUCGCUGCUCCAAGAGUGAUCCAGGACCAGCACCGUCAGCAUCACCGGGACACAUUACAAAUGCAGGUUCUCAGCCACCCCAGACUUGCAGAGUCAGAAUCUGCAUUUUGACGAAAUGGCCAGGUGGCCUGUAUGCCCAGGACAGUUUGAGAAGCGCUGAGCGAAGGGGCUUACUGGGGAAGGCGCCCACGGGAAAUUGGGACUGCAAUCUUGGCCUAGUAACUUAGUAACUGGGUGAUGAAUGGAAUAUCCUCCCUGGGCCCUCCGAGCCUCGGCCUUCUCAUCUGUAAGAUGGGAACGAUGGUGACACGGCCGUUGCAGGCUUAAUUCAUCCCUAUGCCAGAUAUCUGGGUGCCCACCAUGUGCCAGGAGCCAUGAGAGGCGCUGGAGCUGCAGCAUGAAGAAAGGAUAAGACAGGCCCUGCCCCUAGCCUCUUGGAACCUAGGGUUGGUUAGGGGGCUUAGGAAUUCACGACACAAACCAGCGUGAGAUGACGUCUGCGGCAGAGUAGAGGCUGCGGAGGAGAGGUGCAGAGUUGCCACCCCUGGGAGCGGGGGUCCCUGAUGAAGUGAUAUCCAUACUGACACAUGAAGAAGGGCAGGUGAAGGUGAAUGAGGUAGAAGAAUGUUCCAGAAUGCUGAAUGUGUGGGAAUUGGAUGCACCUGACACCACAGUAUCUGCCCAGCAAGGAAGGGAGAGUAUUAGUCACCUACAGCUGCAUAACAAAUAUCCCCAAACCGCUCUGUAUUUAGAGUUAAAAUUUGGCAUGUAGCUCUCUCCUCUCCUUUGGGAAAUUAAAUUAUAUGCUCAGGGAAGGAGGAUGCUCUGUUUGUAUUUUGGGGGGCGGGGGCAGGUAAGCGGACAACCAUCUCCUAUGUGCCUGGUGCUUGCUAAUAGGAACUCAAUACCUCCUUCUCAAUGAACUGGUGCUGUGUCCUCAGGCCUUUUGGUCGUUUUCUCCUAACACUUGGGAUGCUGCGGGGUGGAGGCAACAGCACCAGCUUCUUCCGAACUUGACAGGGGAAGCGAACAUUGAUGAAGGAAGAGGGAAGAAGGACAGGAGGGAGUUUGAGAAGCAGUAAUUGAAAAACUAGACAGACCGUGGAAGAAUUAUAAACAGAAAGCCCCAUUCUGCUGCGGCCCAUCAGAGCCAGAGGGGCAGCGCACGGAAGGGAUGAGCAGAGAAAUCCCAAAGACCAGGAUCGGAAACAAAUGAGCUUUAAUGGAACAUUUCAGUUCUGGAGAAAAAUGCGAACACCGAGUAGAGAUAACCACGGAGAUAACCACUCAGGCACUACAUUUGUGGAAGUGUCAUCCAGGCACCAAACGGGGAAGAAGGAGGCAGAAACACAAUUGGUUUAAUUUUUUAGAUUAAUUGUGAGCAGUCAAUAAUGUGGCUCAUCCGGGGGCCCAGAGGCGUCUAAGCUAUGCUGAGUAAUCUCCUUAGGUUGGUAAUUAUUGUUUGCAUUUACAGAAUCAAGGCCACAAAAAGGUGGUUUAGAGAAAGCCUCACCGAGCUGGGGGACCGUAAUCCUAGCUUUCCCAGCACAUCUGGAAUGCGGCAGCGAUACUAUGGUUUCCAGGCGGAGUGUAAGAAGAAAAAGGAAAAAAAAAAACACACCAAAAAAACCUUCCUUUCGUCCCUUGCUUUGUGGCUGAUU